ACAUUCACCAACCCAUAUGGAAGGUGAUAAUCUAUAUGCAGUGGCGGACACAUCAUAGCCAGAUAGAGAGGACUCGUUUACCCCUUUCUCUUUCUUUUUGCUCUCCCUCCUUUCUUCUCCCAUUUCUGAAGCCUCAAGCUCAUUGAGAGGCUAAUGUUUGAUAAACCGCUGGAGCAGCAGAUGAUGUUGGCCAUCGCAGACCUGGUGGACAACGAGAGGUAGCAGCUGAGGAAUAAGGUCAAGAGGGUGGUGCCUGUGGACACAUAGGAUGCACAAUAAGUCUGAAGAAGAGCCCAGCUGUUCGUCAACAUAUCGUCUCUAUGUUUUAACAAUAUGUCGUCUCUAUGUUUAGCCCUGUCUGCUAGUUCUGCUUGUUUGUUUCUGUGUCGAGUUAUUAACAAACGGGGCACCGUCAAUAGUGCCGUGAGUUGUUAUGUGGGUUGUAUCUCUAAUUAUGUCUGCAUGGUAAAGCAAAGCAACACCCAGGUUGGGUUCAACUUUACACCUUGGGUGUAGGUCACUGUGUCACCAUGCAAGUUGGACGCCUGUCUUUAUUUUCAAGUGCAACUCUGAAAGUGGCAGCAUAAUCAGCAUGCUGACCACCAAGUUGUAUUCUCGAGCAGGAAGCAUUUGUACUCUCUUGUGAUCAACAAGUGUUUAUGUCUUGUAGUAAGUAGUUUGUUUUUAGCGAUUUGGUCAUCAAGAUAUAGCCAUGAGCUUCAAGCA